ACAGGACACAAUUGGAGAAACUGGUUGUUUUACUAAGACUUUGACUGGAAGGGUGUGCUUCCCUUUAAGGAAUCAAACGUGACUUGCAGAGCCAAUAAAAGCCGCUUGGGAAAACUGGCUUCACACCUUGUCUACACAGUCACUGUAUAGGGUUCCUAACCUGUGUAUUUCUGUUCCAUAAAGUUGCCUUCAGCACUGAACAAGCAAAUGCUGAAUAAUGGGUCCUACGUAAAUCUGAGACUAUUGAAAUGAUGUUGGACAAAAAGCAAAUUCGAGCAAUUUUUUUUUUUUUUUUUGAGAUGGAGUCUAGCUCUGUUGCCAAGCUGGAGUGCAGUGACUCAAUCUUGGCUCACUGCAAUCCCUGAUUCCCUGGUUGUAGAAAUUCUUCUGCCUCAGCCUCCCGAGUAGCUGGGAUUACAGGUGUGUGCCACCACGACCAGCUAAUUUUUGUAUUUUUAAUAGAGACGGG
rnacentral:lncRNA from 1 species